rnacentral:rRNA from 1 species
UGCAGUCGAACGAUGAUCCGGUGCUUGCACCGGGGAUUAGUGGCGAACGGGUGAGUAACACGUGAGUAACCUGCCCUUGACUCUGGGAUAAGCCUGGGAAACCGGGUCUAAUACCGGAUACGACCUUUCACCGCAUGGUGGUUGGUGGAAAGAUUUUUUGGUUUUGGAUGGACUCGCGGCCUAUCAGCUUGUUGGUGAGGUAAUGGCUCACCAAGGCGACGACGGGUAGCCGGCCUGAGAGGGUGACCGGCCACACUGGGACUGAGACACGGCCCAGACUCCUACGGGAGGCAGCAGUGGGGAAUAUUGCACAAUGGGCGAAAGCCUGAUGCAGCGACGCCGCGUGAGGGAUGACGGCCUUCGGGUUGUAAACCUCUUUCAGCAGGGAAGAAGCGAAAGUGACGGUACCUGCAGAAGAAGCGCCGGCUAACUACGUGCCAGCAGCCGCGGUAAUACGUAGGGCGCAAGCGUUGUCCGGAAUUAUUGGGCGUAAAGAGCUCGUAGGCGGUUUGUCGCGUCUGCUGUGAAAGCCCGGGGCUCAACCCCGGGUCUGCAGUGGGUACGGGCAGACUAGAGUGCAGUAGGGGAGACUGGAAUUCCUGGUGUAGCGGUGAAAUGCGCAGAUAUCAGGAGGAACACCGAUGGCGAAGGCAGGUCUCUGGGCUGUAACUGACGCUGAGGAGCGAAAGCAUGGGGAGCGAACAGGAUUAGAUACCCUGGUAGUCCAUGCCGUAAACGUUGGGCACUAGGUGUG